UACGGAGGAUCCAAGCGUUAUCCGGAAUCAUUGGGUUUAAAGGGUCCGUAGGCGGUCUUGUAAGUCAGUGGUGAAAGCCCAUCGCUCAACGGUGGAACGGCCAUUGAUACUGCAGGACUUGAAUUAUUGGGAAGUAACUAGAAUAUGUAGUGUAGCGGUGAAAUGCUUAGAGAUUACAUGGAAUACCAAUUGCGAAGGCAGGUUACUACCAAUUGAUUGACGCUGAUGGACGAAAGCGUGGGUAGCGAACAGG
rnacentral:rRNA from 1 species